GCUACGGGAGGCAGCAGUGAGGAAUAUUGGUCAAUGGCCGAGAGGCUGAACCAGCCAAGUCGCGUGAGGGAAGACGGCCCUACGGGUUGUAAACCUCUUUUGUCGGGGAGCAAAGCGAACCACGUCUGGUUCAUUGAGAGUACCCGAAGACAAAGCAUCGGCUAACUCCGUGCCAGCAUCCGCGGUAAUACGGAGGGUGCGAGCGUUAUCCGGAUUUAUUGGGUUUAAAGGGUGCGCAGGCGGAGGUGCAAGUCAGCGGUAAAAUUGCGGGGCUCAACCCCGUACUGCCGUUGAAACUGCAUCCCUUGAGUGCGCGAGAGGUAUGCGGAAUGCGUGGUGUAGCGGUGAAAGGCAUAGAUAUCACGCAGAACUCCGAGUGCGAAGGCAGAAUACCGGCGCGCAACUGACGCUCAUGCACGAAAGCGUGGGUAUCGAACAGGAGUAGAUACCCCUGUAGUC
rnacentral:rRNA from 1 species